rnacentral:piRNA from 1 species
UCACAUUUUGCCUUCAGAAUUCUUGCUGU